CAUUCCAAAUUGGGGAGAAAAAAGCGAGAAAGAAAAAACAUUCACUAUUUGGUCGGUACAUCAGAACAUGGUUAGGUCGAAAAUAAAACAUAUAUUCAAUGUCGGAAUGAGGUUGAUUCAUCAACAUGUACCGCCGACCCAUUUGGUCGAAAUCAUAACGUUUGCUCUAUGUUGAAACUUGGUUGGAGAAGUCGGAGUUCUGCACAUGCACGUUUUUGAAUCUACACUGGGCCAACCGUCAGUGGAUGCGUCGCUAGAAAAAGGUAAGCAGAAAUGAACUUUUAUUCAUCAUUUUACACAAUGUUUUGUCAGUCUAUCAUUGAAUAUCACUUUAGAUAUGACUUGUUUUAUCCUUCAGUGUUUUAAAAACAUUCCCGCUUGGUAAAUUUGUAAUUAAAUGCCUUGUUUGCGCAUCUAGUCUUCCUUGAGGCAGCCGGUAACUGAGGUAAAUUUAGACAAUUCACCAUGUCGGACUCAUUUUAGUUGUUGUAGAUGGUCAACUUCAACAUGAUCAAUUUCACUCGUGUUUUCUAAACUUUAACUUUAGUUCAUUCAUUUAUCUGUCUUUCGCUCGUGAAUGUCCUUCGACUGCUCUGGUGCCGCACACGUCACACUGAGUAAAAAAUACACAAGGUGAAUAAAUGUUAAAACUGUCAUUACUAUCUCAAAGAUUGUGUUUUAAUUUUAGGGACAAACCUUGUGGCAUUUUCUGCACUAAUGUUCAUAGAGGUCCAAAUGAGCAUGGCAAAGAGAGACGUCCAGUGCCUUAUCCCUGUUUCAUAGGGAGGAACUCCUCAACAGAGCCGCCUCCUCCCCAAUUUUGGAAUGCCCAAUUCCCACUGCUUAGUAGGUCCUCGUGGUGGCGUGGUUACUCACCUCAUUCCAGGUGGCGGAGGAUAAGUCUCAGUUGCCUCCACUUCUGAGACCAUCAAUCCACGCAUCUUAUCACGUGGCUCGUUGUGCAUGACACCACGGAGACUCACAGCAUGUGGAGGCUCAUGCUACUCUCUGUGAUCCACGUACAACUUACCACACGCCCCAUUGGAGUGAGAACCCCUAAUCGCGACCACGAGGAGGUUACCUCAUGUGACUCUACCCUCCCUAGCAACCGGGCCAAUUUGGUUGCUUAGGAGACCUGGCUGGAGUCACUCAGCAUGCCCUGGAUUCAAACUCAUGACUCCAGGGGUGAUAGUCAGCGUCAGUACUCGCUGAGAUA